GUUUGAUCCUGGCUCAGGACGAACGCUGGCGGCGUGCUUAACACAUGCAAGUUGAACGGUACAGAUAUUGUAACGACUUUUCGGACUGGUGAAUAUAUUUGGUCAGUACCGGACGGGUGAGUGGUGUAUGAUCUCCUGCCCUUCAGAGGGGGACAACAGUUGGAAACGGCUGCUGAUACCCCAUAUGCCGGCAGGUGAAAGGAGCGAUCCGCUGAAGGAGUGGCUCAUGUCCUAUCACUAGUUGGUGAGGUAAGGGCUCACCAAGGCGAUGACCGGUAGCCGGCCUGAGGGGCGACCGGCCACACUGGAACUGAUAUACCGUCCAGACUCCUACGGGAGGCAACAUUGGGGAAUAUUGGAAAAUGGGCGAAAGCCUGACCCAGCGACUCCGCGUGAGGGAAGAAGGCCUUUGGGUCGCCACCUCUGUUGUAUGGGAAGAAGGAAGUGACGGUUACGAGUACGAAGGAAGUCCGUGCUCAACUAGUGCAACGCCGCUAAGUAAUAGUAGGACGAGGUUCCGUAAUACUGGCGUAAGGGCCCGCGAUAUUAAGUCAGUACUGUUAAACGUCUGGCUCAACUCAGAUGAUUGAAACUGUGGUAUUAGCAGUGUGGAGAGGUAGGCGGAAUGUCCGGGAUAGCAGUGAAUUGCGUAGAAAUCGGGAGAAACACCAGUGUUUAGGCGACUACUGACAGAGCGGUGAGCGCGAACAGCCAAGGAAGCGAUACCGGUAUUAGAUACCCCCGUAUCCUGAGCGAUCUACGAUGUAUGCGUAGCUGUGGGUGUCAGAGGCAUCCGUGCCGAAUAACGCCAUACAUUCCGUAUGGAGUACGUCGCAAUUGAAAUCAAAGGAAGUCGACGUGCCCCACAAGCGGUGGUACACGUCGUUAAUCGAUGCAACUGCCAAGACCUUCUACGUUGAAUGACUGAGUCACGGAUUGAAAUGAGAAGGACAUGACACUGGCAGCGCAGCUCACUAUGGUGCAUGCCGGUGGUCAGCUGUUGUCGUGAGAUGUUGGGUUAAGUCGCGCAACGAGCGCAACCCAUGCGUCCAGUCACCGUAGAGUGAAGUCGGGGAUUAUGGAUGCACUGCCAGUGACAAGCUGGAGGGAGGUGGGGAGGAGGUCAAGUCAUCGUGGCCUCAUCACGUACGGUGACACAUGGGCUACAAUGGCGGAUACAGGGUGAGUACAGCCUGCGAAGACAUGCGGAUCCCACAAAGUCGGUAUCAACAGAUAUUGCAGUCUGCAACUCGACUGCAUGAAGGAGGAAUGAAGUAGUAAUCGCGGAUCAGCCAAGAUCCGGAGAAUACGUUCCCGGCCUUUGUACACCCCGCCCGUCACACCACCCACGUUGGGUGCACCUGAAGCACGAGGCUUAACCUUUGCAGGAAGGA
rnacentral:rRNA from 1 species